CCUACGGGAGCUGCAGUGGGGAAUAUUGGACAAUGGGCGAAAGCCUGAUCCAGCCAUGCCGCGUGUGUGAAGAAGGCCUUCGGGUUGUAAAGCACUUUCAGUGGGGAAGAAAGCCUUGGGGCUAAUACCCUCGAGGAAGGACAUCACCCACAGAAGAAGCACCGGCUAACUCCGUGCCAGCAGCCGCGGUAAUACGGAGGGUGCGAGCGUUAAUCGGAAUUACUGGGCGUAAAGCGCGCGUAGGCGGUCUGAUAAGCCGGUUGUGAAAGCCCCGGGCUCAACCUGGGAACGGCAUCCGGAACUGUCAGGCUAGAGUGCAGGAGAGGAAGGUAGAAUUCCCGGUGUAGCGGUGAAAUGCGUAGAGAUCGGGAGGAAUACCAGUGGCGAAGGCGGCCUUCUGGACUGACACUGACGCUGAGGUGCGAAAGCGUGGGUAGCAAACAGGAUUAGAUACCCCUGUAGUC
rnacentral:rRNA from 1 species